rnacentral:rRNA from 1 species
CGAACGGGUGAGUAACACGUGGGCAACCUGGCCCCAAAAAGAAGGGGGGAGUAAACACUUGGAAACAGGUGCUAAUACCGCAUAACCAUAGUUACCGCAUGGUAACUAUGUAAAAGGUGGCUAUGCUACCGCUUUUGGAUGGGCCCGCGACGCAUUAGCUAGUUGGUGGGGUAAAGGCUUACCAAGGCAAUGAUGCGUAGCCGAACUGAGAGGUUGAUCGGCCACAUUGGGACUGAGACACGGCCCAAACUCCUACGGAAGGCAGCAG